rnacentral:rRNA from 1 species
UACGAAGGGGGCGAGCGUUGUUCGGAAUUACUGGGCGUAAAGGGCGCGCAGGCGGCCCUUGAAGUCAGGCGUGAAAGCCCCGGGCUCAACCUGGGAGGUGCGCUUGAUACUCGAGGGCUUGAGUGCGGGAGAGGAGAGUGGAAUUCCCAGUGUAGAGGUGAAAUUCGUAGAUAUUGGGAAGAACACCGGUGGCGAAGGCGGCGACCUGGUCCUUGACUGACGCGAGCGCGAAAGCGUGGGGAGCAAACGGG